AGCUGAUGCAUAUGGCGGUUCUCCUCCCAAUGCCGCCGCAGCAGCUGUUCCCCUCUGGAGGUUUAUUGACCUUCACACCUUAUGGGCCGCGGUCUUCCGUCGGCCCUUUUUU
rnacentral:sRNA from 1 species